GAUGAACGCUGGCGGCGUGCUUAACACAUGCAAGUCGAACGAUUAACCCACCUUCGGGUGGUUAUAGAGUGGCGAACGGGUGAGUAACACGUGACCAACCUGCCCCAGACAUCGGGACAACCAUUGGAAACGAUGGCUAAUACCGAAUACUAUCCCUCUCCCUCAUGGAAGAAGGAUGAAAGCUCAGGCGGUCUGGGAUGGGGUCGCGGCCCAUCAGGUAGUAGGCGGGGUAACGGCCCACCUAGCUUAUGACGGGUAGCCGGACUGAGAGGUCGACCGGCCACAUUGGGACUGAGAUACGGCCCAGACUCCUACGGGAGGCAGCAGUGGGGAAUAUUGCGCAAUGGGGGCAACCCUGACGCAGCAACGCCGCGUGCGGGAUGAAGGCUUUCGGGUUGUAAACCGCUUUCAGCAGGGAUGACUUCGACAGUACCUGCAGAAGAAGCCCCGGCUAACUACGUGCCAGCCGCCGCGGUAACAC
rnacentral:rRNA from 1 species